GACGAACGCUGGCGGCGUGCCUAAUACAUGCAAGUAGAACGCACAGGAUGCACCGUAGUUUACUACACCGUAUCCUGUGAGUUGCGAACGGGUGAGUAACGCGUAGGUAACCUGCCUGGUAGCGGGGGAUAACUAUUGGAAACGAUAGCUAAUACCGCAUAAGAACAUUUACUGCAUGGUAGAUGUUUAAAAGGUGCAAGAGCAUCACUACCAGAUGGACCUGCGUUGUAUUAGCUAGUUGGUGAGGUAACGGCUCACCAAGGCAACGAUACAUAGCCGACCUGAGAGGGUGAUCGGCCACACUGGGACUGAGACACGGCCCAGACUCCUACGGGAGGCAGCAGUAGGGAAUCUUCGGCAAUGGGGGGAACCCUGACCGAGCAACGCCGCGUGAGUGAAGAAGGUUUUCGGAUCGUAAAGCUCUGUUGUAAGAGAAGAACGAGUGUGAGAGUGGAAAGUUCACACUGUGACG
rnacentral:rRNA from 1 species